rnacentral:misc_RNA from 1 species
AGAUAAAAUGGCUAAAUAACUUAGGGAGUACUAAAGUAUAGUUUCGGCCAGAAGGACAAGGACAACAGGCAUAAAGUAGAUAUGAAAGAAAUCACAUGAAAAAAAAUAAACAAUAAUAAAGGGAAACACAAGAAAAAUUCACAUUACUAAUUCAAGAUUCACCAAUCACCAUUACUGCGACUGCUUAUCACAUAACUAUGAAUUUUCAGACAGAAAGUAGUUGUUCUAAGGGGGAUAAAUUUCUUCCCUGGAUAUCAUCUGUGUUAUUGAUAAGAAAAAAAAAAUGCUAAAUUGGACCAGAUAUACAGCAAUAUAAACCAACUCAUCAAGUGAACAGAAAUAACAUUUCAUAUCAUGGAAAUAGAAUCAUAUCUAUAUAGAUCUAGAAACUAAUGUUAAUAUACAUCACAUAAUAAUCCAUUAUCUGCAUUAGCAACAACCCCAAAACCAUAGUCUUCCUUCCAAAAACAAAAGGUACGAAAAUUGAAAAAUUAUAAGCAAAUUGAAUCAUUUCUUGCAACCCAAUACUAAAAGAAAUACAACAAAAGCCCUCCACCAUCCCCUUCUCCCAACAUUUCAGAGCAAAUGAAGUUCUCCACAUAAACACCAAUAAUUACAGAUGAUAAAGUAGGAAAGGCAAGAUAUACGGUUUCUCCAUCUUGGAGCAAAUGGGGCUAGCUUAUUCCGGUCACAAGACCAUAGUAUAACUAAGAAUUGCAGUCAAUUUUCAAGAAAUUUCAAAAUAAUGAAUCACAACAUCAGAUUAUCCAGGAUAAAAAUGAACCUAGAUUCUUCAGAUUUGUAAUUGCCCAUUUCUUCUUCUAU